rnacentral:rRNA from 1 species
GGGGGAAACCCUGAUCCAGCCAUGCCGCGUGGGUGAAGAAGGCCUUCGGGUUGUAAAGCACUUUUGUCCGGGAAGAAAACCUUUGGGCUAAUACCUCGGGGGAUGACGGUACCGGCAAUAAGCACCGGCUAACUCCGUGCCA